ensembl:misc_RNA 7SK 7SK RNA
CGAUGUGAGGGCCAUCUGGCUGCGACAUCUGUCACCCCAGUGAUCGCCAGGGUUGAUUCAGCUGAUCUGACUGGCUGUGGGCGUGUCCUCUUCCUCCCUCACUGCUCUAUGUGUGGCGCUCCAGAAGCUGUAUGCUGUGUGGAAGAUUGUGGGAAUCAUGAUUAUCAGUUGCAAGUAUUGUUAGCUUUAGUAACUCCAUCUUGUUAAGUUCAUCUAUUUUGUAAGUAUAAU